rnacentral:rRNA from 1 species
CAAUGGGUGGUUUGAGGCAAUGGCACUACCUCUUCCCAUCCCGAACAGAGUCGUAAAACAUUGUACUACCGAUGAUACUCCAACAGGGGGAAAGUAGGUAACCGCCCGUU